rnacentral:rRNA from 1 species
UACAGAGGGUGCAAGCGUUGUUCGGAAUUAUUGGGCGUAAAGCGCGUGUAGGCGGCUUUGCAAGUCGGGUGUGAAAUCCCUCAGCUCAACUGAGGAAGUGCGCCCGAAACUGCAGAGCUUGAGUACCGGAGAGGAUGGCGGAAUUCACGGUGUAGCAGUGAAAUGCGUAGAUAUCGUGAGGAACACCGGUGGCGAAGGCGGCCAACUGGACGAAUACUGACGCUGAGACACGAAAGCGUGGGGAGCAAACAGG